rnacentral:tRNA from 2 species
GCCCGCAUGGUGAAAUUGGUAAACACAGCGGACUUAAAAUCCGCCGCCAUAGGCUUGCCGGUUCAAGUCCGGCUGCGGGCACCA